rnacentral:rRNA from 1 species
UUGCAUUACGAGUAAAGAUGCUCGUUACGCGCAGAAGGACGGAAAGACCCCGUGACCUUUACUAUAGUUUGGUAUUGGUGAUUGGGACGGUUUGUGUAGGAUAGGUGGGAGACGUUGAUGCGGCCACGCUAGUGGUGGUGGAGUCGUUGGUGAAAUACCACUCUGAUUGUUCUGGUUAUCUCACUGUGGACCGUGAUCCGGUUCAAGGACAGUGCCUGAUGGGUAGUUUGACUGGGGCGGUCCU